GAGCGGCAAAAGCUCAAAUUUGAAAUCUGGCACUUUCAGUGUCCGAGUUGUAAUUUGAAGAAGGUAUCUUUGGGUCUGGCUCUUGUCUAUGUUUCUUGGAACAGAACGUCACAGAGGGUGAGAAUCCCGUGCGAUGAGAUGUCCCAGACCUAUGUAAAGUUCCUUCGAAGAGUCGAGUUGUUUGGGAAUGCAGCUCUAAGUGGGUGGUAAAUUCCAUCUAAAGCUAAAUAUUGGCGAGAGACCGAUAGCGAACAAGUACAGUGAUGGAAAGAUGAAAAGAACUUUGAAAAGAGAGUGAAAAAGUACGUGAAAUUGUUGAAAGGGAAGGGCUUGAGAUCAGACUUGGUAUUUUGUAUGUUACUCUCUCGGGGGUGGCCUCUACAGUUUACCGGGCCAGCAUCAGUUUGGGCGGUAGGACAAUUGCAAAGAAAUGUGGCACUGCCUCGGUAGUGUGUUAUAGUCUUUGUCGAUACUGCCAGCCUAGACUGAGGACUGCGGCUUCGGCCUAGGAUGUUGGCAUAAUGAUCUUAAGUCGCCCGUCU
rnacentral:rRNA from 1 species